rnacentral:rRNA from 1 species
AUGAAUUUUAAACAACUUGAUCAUGAGCAUGUUGCCCAAUAUUGGGAAAGAAUGAAAUUGAUGCUUCGCAAUUGCCCUACUCAUGGUUUGAAUUUAUGGAUGAUCAUACAAAAAUUUUAUGUCGGAUUGAAUUUUGCUUCUAGAAAUCUUUUAGAUUGGGCCGCGCGAGGCACGUUUAUGGAAAUUACGUUAGGAGAUGCUACAAAAUUGCUUGACAAUAUUAUGGCUAAUUAUUCUCAAUGGCACACCGAAAGAUCUUCUAGUAAAAAAGUGCAUGCUAUAGAAGAAAUUAGUGUUUUGAGUGAAAAGAUGGAUGAACUUAUGAAGAUGUUUGCUCCUAAAAAUACUCCUCUUGAUCCCAAUGAUAUGCCUUUAUCUACUUUGCUUGAGAAUAAUAAUGAAUCUAUGGAUGUGAUUUUUUUUGGUAGGAAUAGUUUUGGAAACAAUGCUUAUAGAGGGAAUUUUAAUCCUAGGCCUUAUCCUAGUAAUCCUUCUAAUAAUUAUGGAAAUUCCUAA